UCUUAUAGAUGAGCAAAGAAAGUGGUUUCUGUUGAUGGAAGCUACUUCCGGGUGAAGAUGCUGUGAA
rnacentral:pre_miRNA from 1 species